AUAGAACGCUGGCGGCAUGCUUUACACAUGCAAGUCGAACGGCAGCACGGGCUUCGGCCUGGUGGCGAGUGGCGAACGGGUGUGUAAUGCAUCGGAACGUACCGUGUAGUGGGGGAUAACGUAGCGAAAGUUACGCUACUACCGCAUACGCCCUGAGGGGGAAAGUGGGGGACCGCAAGGCCUCACGCUAUAUGAGCGGCCGAUGUCGGAUUAGCUAGUUGGUAGGGUAAAGGCCUACCAAGGCGACGAUCCGUAGCGGGUCUGAGAGGAUGGUCCGCCACACUGGGACUGAGACACGGCCCAGACUCCUACGGGAGGCAGCAGUGGGGAAUUUUGGACAAUGGGCGCAAGCCUGAUCCAGCCAUGCCGCGUGAGUGAAGAAGGCCUUCGGGUUGUAAAGCUCUUUCAGACGGAAAGAAAUCUCUCAGGAUAAUACCUUGGGAGGAUGACGGUACCGUAAGAAGAAGCACCGGCUAACUACGUGCCAGCCGCCGCUGUAAUAC
rnacentral:rRNA from 1 species